GAUGAACGCUGGCGGCGUGCCUAAUACAUGCAAGUCGAGCGAACAGACGAGGAGCUUGCUCCUCUGACGUUAGCGGCGGACGGGUGAGUAACACGUGGAUAACCUACCUAUAAGACUGGGAUAACUUCGGGAAACCGGAGCUAAUACCGGAUAAUAUAUUGAACCGCAUGGUUCAAUAGUGAAAGACGGUUUUGCUGUCACUUAUAGAUGGAUCCGCGCCGCAUUAGCUAGUUGGUACGGUAACGGCUUACCAAGGCAACGAUGCGUAGCCGACCUGAGAGGGUGAUCGGCCACACUGGAGCUGAGACACGGUCCAGACUCCUACGGGAGGCAGCAGUAGGGAAUCUUCCGCAAUGGGCGAAAGCCUGACGGAGCAACGCCGCGUGAGUGAUGAAGGUCUUCGGAUCGUAAAACUCUGUUAUUAGGGAAGAACAAAUGUGUAAGUAACUAUGCACGUCUUGACGGUACCUAAUCAGAAAGCCACGGCUAACUACGU
rnacentral:rRNA from 1 species